CCUACGGUGCGCAGCAGUGGGGAAUAUUGCACAAUGGGGGAAACCCUGAUGCAGCAACGCCGCGUGAAGGAAGACGGUUUUCGGAUUGUAAACUUCUAUCAAUAGGGAAGAAAGAAAUGACGGUACCUAAAUAAGAAGCCCCGGCUAACUACGUGCCAGCAGCCGCGGUAAUACGUAGGGGGCAAGCGUUAUCCGGAUUUAUUGGGUUUAAAGGGUGCGUAGGCGGGCUGUUAAGUCAGCGGUAAAAGCCCGGGGCUCAACCCCGGCGAGCCGUUGAAACUGGCUGUCUUGAGAUGUCGAGAGGUAUGCGGAAUGCGCAGUGUAGCGGUGAAAUGCUUAGAUAUUGCGCAGAACUCCGAUUGCGAAGGCAGCAUACCGGCGGCGAUCUGACGCUGAGGCACGAAAGCGUGGGUAUCGAACAGGAUUAGAUACCCCGGUAGUC
rnacentral:rRNA from 1 species